rnacentral:rRNA from 1 species
AGUGAACGCUGGCGGUAGGCCUAACACAUGCAAGUCGAACGGCAGCACAGGAGAGCUUGCUCUCUGGGUGGCGAGUGGCAGACGGGUGAGGAAUACAUCGGAAUCUACUUUUUCGUGGGGGAUAACGUAGGGAAACUUACGCUAAUACCGCAUACGACCUACGGGUGAAAGCAGGGGAUCUUCGGACCUUGCGCGAUUGAAUGAGCCGAUGUCGGAUUAGCUAGUUGGCGGGGUAAAGGCCCACCAAGGCGACGAUCCGUAGCCGGUCUGAGAGGAUGAUCAGCCACACUGGAACUGAGACACGGUCCAGACUCCUACGGGAGGCAGCAGUGGGGAAUAUUGGACAAUGGGCGCAAGCCUGAUCCAGCCAUACCGCGUGGGUGAAGAAGGCCUUCGGGUUGUAAAGCCCUUUUGUUGGGAAAGAAAUCCAGCUGGUUAAUACCCGGUUGGGAUGACGGUACCCAAAGAAUAAGCACCGGCUAACUUCGUGCCAGCCGCCGCAGUAA